GCUGAUGUACUUAUCGUUCAGAGUACAUAUACAAAUAUCGAGGCCCUACUUACUUACAAAAUAAAUCAUAAACAUCAGGUAAAUUAUGGACUGAACUAUUUUAAAACUACUAAAUCUAAACAAAUUAAAGUUAUAAUCUAAGUGCGGUCCGGCAUUAUUACACAUUUAUUCCUAUUAUAAUACCAGAAAUGCUACUGAAACUAAUAUCGUUUAUAACAUGGCAUCGAUACAUAAAUAAAGGAUCUUCUUCAUUAUCAGUUAUGAUCUCGAACAUGUAUAGCUAUUACUUCCUAGAUUUUGAGUGAGAACGGUACCUGGAAUUACAGCACAAGAGGUUCUAUGAGUAAGGCAAACGUGAGGCAAAUAAGCAACAACAGCCAAAUCUACUAGUUAACCCAGGAACUCAGGAAAUUUGAGAAGAAAAUUAUGAAAACAAAUCUCUCCAACAGCUCAAAAAUGCACAUGCAUCAAUCCAUCUUCCACUUAUAAUGAGUAGAACUUCGAUUAUUAAAGAAGAUUUUGCCAGGAAGAAACUUGAAAUUUAUUUUUUUGAUGAAUGUUAUAUGAAAAUGUAUCUCUCAAUGUAUAUCUCUCUCUAUAUCGAGAAUUAUCUUCUAGCUCUAGAAAAUCCCAAUCCCCUUUAAAAUAAUCAGACGUACCUUAUAACCAAAACUUUAAGACAACCAAAAUCUUUUUGUUUUUUUAGUCCAUUACCCAUUUUUCAUAUUUGCCUAAAUGAUCCUUGAUUUUUUAACUUGUGCCUCAAGUUUUGAGGCAGAAAUAUUACUUGGACCCCUAACUAGAAUGUUCCAGGAGUUUGUUACAAGAUUCCCAUAUUCAAAUACCCACAAUACCCUUGUCCUCUUUUCAUAAUUACUGGCCUAGGUGUUUUGAACUCUGGUACCUAUCUAUUUGGUCAGAAACUGACCCUAGUUAACUACUUCAGUUCAUAAACCAAGAUUAUCAUUAGCACCUAGGAUCAAAUUCUGAAUUGUAUAUUAUACUAUAUUAUGAAAAAGCAAAUGACCAAGGGUAAAAAUUUGAUCAAUGCAACAUAUAUACUCAGACAAAUAUCACUAAAUUGCUCAGAAAUAAUACAAAGCUAAAAAACACAAGUUUCAGAAAUACAGGACACUAAUCAAUUUUAAACCAAAUAUGACCAAUUCUGAGCUCAGCACAAUAAUUCAAACAAGUCAACAAGAACAGACUAUGACUUCAAAUGUUAAGCAGACCAUUCAGAAACAGGUUAUCCAGACUUAAACAAUAACAAACAAGGAAGAAAAUACUCAGGAUAUUUCAAAGAUGAGUAGAUGAAAACUUAAUGUAUUUAAACAAAUGAAAAAUCAAAAGAAAUUAGAAAAGAGAACCGGGAAGAGUAUACAACUCUAGAUGGAAAUACCUACUAAGAAUUUUUCAAAGAUGAACAGAUAGAAAACAUAAUAUACUUAACAAAUAAAAAUAAAGAAGAUCAAAAGCAAAAGAAAACAAGGAUGAGCGUAUGACUCUAGAUGGAAGCAUCUUCUCAGAAUAUCUCAAAGAUGAACUGAUCAAAAACAAAUGUACUUAAACAAAUGAAAACAAAGAAUAUAAAAGUAAUUAGAACAGAAAAUACACAAAAUCACAGCAGUAAAAGCGAAUAAAACAAAGGGAGCUUAGCUUUUUCAGCGUUGUAACCCGAAAAUAGGACUCUUCAAAUCUCAAGGAUCUUCGACCCUUUCUGAGAGGGUUUUUGGUCUCUUGAGACCUUUAUUUCAUUGUUGGAGAAGAAUAGAGGGUGUCAGGCUAGGGCUAAUGGACUUUACGAUAGGGUGAGGUUUCAGAUUCGAUUUUUGGCCAAACCUAGUUUUAUAGGAGGGUUGUUGGUCAUGGGAUUGUGGAUGUAAAGGUGAGAUGGUUAACAGGGAUCAUUUAUGAGGGACUCCGGCAAGUUUAUGGUUUGGGUCAGAACUUUGAUUUGAUAUUUGAAGAGGUCUGUUAGGAUUCGAGGGAUAAAACUUAGAUGGGUGGGGAGAGGGGAACGAGGCGGUUCAGGGGUGUUACUUUGGGCAGGUUUGGGGUUGGUACCGCCGUAGGCGGCGGAGACAGUGACUACUCUUUUGAAUAUUCGAAGGGCUGGGGAGAUAUUUUAGGGGAUCUAAUGGUAGGAGGGGAAAGAGGAGGUUGAGAGGGUUUGGUGGUGUAAUUUUGGGGCCAUUUGGUGGCCGGCCGCCGCCGUGAGGCGAUUUACGGCGGUGGCGUUACGGUGGUUGAAGGCUGAUCUAUGGUGGCUAAGGGGUGGUGUUACACCGGUG
rnacentral:lncRNA from 1 species